rnacentral:rRNA from 1 species
AUGGCUCAGGAUGAACGCUAGCGGCAGGCUUAACACAUGCAAGUCGAGGGGCAGCAUGACGGAACCUUCGGGUUUUGUUGAUGGCGACCGGCGCAAGGGUGCGUAACGCGUGAGCAACUUGCCCGUUUCUGGGGAAUAACCGGUGGAAAACGCCGACUAAUACCCCAUAGCAUUGACUUUGGGCAUCCUUAGUCAAUUAAAGAAUUUCGGAAACGGAUAGGCUCGCGUGACAUUAGCUUGAUGGCGGGGUAACGGCCCACCAUGGCGACGAUGUCUAGGGGUUCUGAGAGGAAGGUCCCCCACACUGGAACUGAGACACGGUCCAGACUCCUACGGGAGGCAGCAGUGAGGAAUAUUGGUCAAUGGUCUGACGACUGAACCAGCCAUGCCGCGUGAAGGUGACGGCCCUAUGGGUCUUAAACUUCUUUUGUAAGGGAGCAAUAAGUCUCACGUGUGGGAUGAUGAGAGUACCUUACGAAUAAGCAUCGGCUAACUCCGUG